CCUACGGGGCGCAGCAGUGGGGAAUAUUGCACAAUGGGGGAAACCCUGAUGCAGCGACGCCGCGUGAGUGAAGAAGUAUUUCGGCUCGUAAAGCUCUGUUGGUAGUGAAGAAAGAUAGAGGUAGUAACUGGCCUUUAUUUGACGGUAAUUACUUAGAAAGUCACGGCUAACUACGUGCCAGCAGCCGCGGUAAUACGUAGGUGGCAAGCGUUGUCCGGAUUUAUUGGGCGUAAAGCGAGUGCAGGCGGGUCAAUAAGGCUGAUGUGAAA
rnacentral:rRNA from 1 species